GACGGAGGGUGCAAGCGUUAUCCGGAUUUACUGGGUUUAAAGGGUGCGUAGGUGGCUUUAUAAGUCGGUGGUGAAAGCUAACAGCUCAACUGUUAAAGUGCCAUCGAUACUGUAAGGCUUGAGUAGAGUCGAGGUGGGCGGAAUUUUACAUGUAGCGGUGAAAUGCGUAGAUAUGUAAAGGAACGCCGAUAACGAAGGUAGCUCACUAGGCUACUACUGACACUGAGGCACGAAAGCGUGGGGAGCGAACAGG
rnacentral:misc_RNA from 1 species